UUUAUCGGGAGCGUCUAGAGGCAGGACGUGUGUGCCUAUGAUGUGUUCCUACCAUGUUCAACGUGAAAUGUGUAGAUGUAAUAGGAAUUUUUUCUCUCAUGCAGAAACUCUCCCUUUUGGUCACUGAAGCAUACAAGGAUGCGCACCAGAAGAGUGUUCAGGCCAUGAAAGAAAGGAUGAGUAAUCUUGCCCAGAGCCUGGGAAUGCCGCAGGGACUUGGUGAGGGAUUGAAGUGACGCUGACCCAUUGACGGAGUUGAGCUUCAAUUUUUGUAUAUGAGCUUUUUGUUGUAAUGGCUAUUUAUGUGGUGACCUUUGUCAACCUAAUGGUUAAAUUUUCAAAUUACAUUUCCUUUUUCUUUAUUUAUUUCUGGCGACAUUUCAAGGCUCCCUCUGUUUCUUGUAGUAAUUUCUGGCUAUAUAGAAAGCAAAAACAGCAGCAAUUCAUACUUGUUUUUCAUUA